UACGUAGGGUGCAGGCGUUAAUCGGAAUUACUGGGCGUAAAGCGUGCGCAGGCGGUUUCUUAAGUCAGAUGUGAAAGCCCCGGGCUUAACCUGGGAACUGCGUUUGAAACUGGGAGACUUGAGUGUGGCAGAGGGGGGUGGAAUUCCGCGUGUAGCAGUGAAAUGCGUAGAGAUGCGGAGGAACACCGAUGGCGAAGGCAGCCCCCUGGGUCGACACUGACGCUCAGGCACGAAAGCGUGGGGAGCAAACAGG
rnacentral:rRNA from 1 species